rnacentral:lncRNA from 1 species
GAGUAUGUUCCAUACCCGAGUAAGUUUAAGGGUAAGUUAGUUAAUAUCCUCCACUUUCUCCUUCCACUGAAGAACUGGGUCUUCUAACAUUUAAUAAUUGAGAUGAAAAGUGUCCCUCCUCCUUUCCACUGCUGAGCUUUUUUCAUGCUGGUUUGUGGUUCGUGUGUUUUUUUCAACACAAUAUGAGAUCAGCAGGAAGAGCAAUCACUGACAAGCAAGCAGCUCAAAGAAUCAACCAUGACACAGAUGAUGAAGAAAGCCUCUGUCGCCAUGGUGACCUUCUUCCUACUCUUCCCAUCUGUCGCCGUCCUGACAUCUGCACUCGCGGAUAAAAUUGACUAUCAGCCACAUAUCUGCUGCACAAGCCUCUACUCGGAUAAGAUACCUGAAAAUAUGGUGAUGGGCUUUAAAUCCACGAGCCUGCAGUGUUCCAAGAGAGGUGUUAUUUUUAAGAGGAAUUCUGGCCCAGACAUCUGUGUUGACCCGUCCUUGGAGUGGGUGAAGAAAAUCCUUACUGGCUUCCAGUAAGGCGCCUCUACAAUUCAUCAGAUUCUCU